UGGGUACCAACGGGCCACACGUGCUGCAGCCCUUGCCUUUGCGGAGGCAAAAACUUGGGCCUGGGAGGAGUUCAGGGAGGCCAUGGAGGAGGACUAUCGUUCCGCUCAAAGUGAUUCUGGCAAACUGUUCAACGCCUCAGGUGGGGGAAGCAGUUCUCCACCAACUCUGUUUUCAGAGGAGGUGGACAGCUGUUGACCUUGACUGGGGAUGUUAUCGGACAAUGGAAGGAGUCGUGGUUUCAGCUUUAAAACAAACCUGGUGCCCCAACUUCGAGGUAUAUUAAUGUUUCGGCAUUAAUAUCAAACUAUUAAUAAUUUGAAUCCGCUACAAUGUUUAAUAUGUAAUUGUAUAAGAUAAAAAAUAUUACAUUUUCAAUCUAUUUAUUUAUUACUCUAACUUAUAAACCACACACAUGCAUGCAGGCACACGAAUUGACAGGCGUCCCCUUUGUAUUCAUCCGGGCUUCUCAAACAGGUGAGUUCCAUCAGCAGUACUAUUUGCUGUUGCUCCUUGAGAAAAAAACCUUGUUCUUGCGCUACCGCUUGCUCUGUGGAAGCGUCAGGUGAGCUAAAAGAGAAAACAAUAUUAACAAAUAAUCAAAUCUCUUACAGUUACUAUGAGAUUAAUACUAAUACUGCUACAUAAAUCAUUAUACAAAUACAGUUAAGCCACGGUGCUUCUUACCACUCUGCUGCAUUAGUGCUUUCUUCUCGUCAUUCGACAGCAAGUCCUGGUGGUGGGAUACACAGCCCUGACCAGUCAGUGCCUGGCAUUUCUCAUCAAACAUCUGUUUGUGAUGUGGACGAACAAACUAGUAGAAGCCUGAGACAUCAAAUGAGACAGAACAGGAAUGACUACUAAAUCAGCCGAGGACUGCAUCUAACGACCGGCACCUGAUGGAGGAGCGCAGGUGGACGUGGUCUAGAGCCUUUAAAGCACAGGUGUCCAGCUCCAGUCCUUAAAGGGGCUACUGUCUGGAAAAGCCAACUGACACCUGAUCAUGGUAAUCAUCCCUGCUAGUUUUGGAAAACUAGUUGGAAAUCCCUGCAAUUAGCAGGGAUGAUUACCAUGAUCAGGAUCAUGUCUUCUAUCCAUUAAUGUCCCAUCAUCGUCUGCUCGCUAGGACACGCUCUUCCGUUCCGUCCGAGGCAGGGAGCCGCUGUGACUGGGUGCGUUGGGCUCCACCGGCCGCUAGAGGGCGCUGUUGACCGUGAACGACGACGUGACGCAACAGGAGCGCGCUUCUCCUGAAGAGCGCCCCCUGGUGGCUCAGCAGUGUAGUACCAGCUCCUUGUGUAAAUAUUGUAAUAGUCAUGCCGUGGUUUAACCUAGUCUUCUUAAA
rnacentral:lncRNA from 1 species